rnacentral:tRNA from 1 species
AAGGGAGACCUAAUUCGGGUAUAAGACGAAAAAAGAGUAGUCGAAACCAAGAAUCAAUCCCAAAAGGUCGGAACGAGGUAUGUGGCUUUCAAACUAGGUUCUGGGUUCACAAAAGACCUGAAUCAGGAACAAGGGCUAUUAGCUCAGGUGGUUAGAGCGCACCCCUGAUAAGGGUGAGGUCCCUGGUUCGAGUCCAGGAUGGCCCACCUGCACAGGUGGCAAAAACAAGAGAAACGAGGAAUCAGCACCUUAUCUUACUUACAUAGUAAGAGAGAAUGCUGGCUCUGAGUAAAGAGUCCAGAGGAACCUUGAAAACUGCAUAGAGCUAGGUGAAAAAGCCAAAAAAGAAGACCGCAA